GUCCACGCCAUAAACGAUGAGAACUGGAUGUCGGAGGGGUCUGCCCUUCGGUGUCGUAGCUAACGCGUUAAGUUCUCCGCCUGGGGAGUACGGCCGCAAGGUUGAAACUCAAAUGAAUUGACGGGGACCCGCACAAGCGGUGGAGCAUGUGGUUUAAUUCGAUGCAACGCGAAGAACCUUACCUGGUCUUGACAUGUCUGGAAUCUUGCAGAGAUGCGAGAGUGCCUUCGGGAACCAGAACACAGGUGCUGCAUGGCUGUCGU
rnacentral:rRNA from 1 species